AUGAAGUUCGCUGAUCUGAACCGGACUAAAAGGGUGUUUCAGGUUGGGGAACAUGUUUUACUGAAACUGCAACCAUAUACACAGACAUCUGUGGCAAGCCGCCCAUGCCCGAAGCUUGCUUUCAAGUUCUUCAGCCCUUUCUCAGUCCUCGACAGAAUCGGACCAUCGGCGUACAAGUUGGAGCUCCCUGCCGACAGCAAGAUUCACCCAGUGUUUCACGUCUCGCAGUUGAAACCUUUCACACCUAACUACAGCCCCGUGUUCUCUGAACUUCCGGCCACCACCGAUCUGUCGACUCAAGAGACUUCUCCAGUGGCAAUCUUAGACAAAAGAAUGAUGAAAAGGGGCAACACACCGGUGAUCCAAUUUCAAGUUGCUUGGGAUGCGACUCCGCAGUCCAUCACUUGGGAGGACUAUGACGUGCUUCGUCGGCGCUAUCUACAAGCUUGCAUCUGGGACGAGGAACCCAUGGAAGAGGGAGACUGUUCUCAAGGAGGGGAGAAUGUCACCACGGUAGUGCCAGACACCACCGCGUGA
rnacentral:rRNA from 1 species